GGUCGAUCACACGGCCCCAAAACGAGCGAAAGUCGAAACGCCCCCCCUCAAAUUAGUCCCAGGAUAUUUUUCCCUUCAAAAAAACAAAGUCCCAGGAUAUUUUUCUGCCCGAAGCGGUGCUGUUUGUUCUCUUCCUCAUUCCCCUUCGUCCUCCACCCCGGUGGGGUUCGCGGGAAAGGCGGAGACGGCUACUCCCCUCUCGGAUCCCUCUGCUCCUCGGCGCGCAGGCAACUCCGAUCGGGUGAGUUCGCCGAUGUUAUGUUCCCUCGCACGUUUUUUUCCUCCUCUCGGUUGAGCGGGGCGAAGCGACAAUUUUAGAAAUCGACGCCAUGGGGACGAAUAGGGUGGAUCGAAGGGGGGGUCGCGGAGAGGAACCACACUAGCCAUCGUCGUGGAAGCGGCUUCAUGGCAGCAACCACGGCAAUGCCCCGUCGUGGGAGCGGCGGAGGUCUGAUUUUGGGGUGGUGGGUCUGGUGGACGAGGGAGGCUCGCUCGAUCUGCGCCGGCUGAGGAGGAGUAGGCGCGCGGUUUCGAGGGGGUGGAGGGCGCACGGCUGGCGUGGAUUGUGGAGGAGGGGCGUGGUGCCGUCUGGGCAGAGGCGCGGGGCGAACUGCAGUAGAGAAGACAACGGUGCUGCUGAAGUGCUGAUGGUAGGGUGCUUCUCCUCCGUAGGCCAACGGUGUGCUUGACGGGGAGAGUAAAGAGAUUCAGAACAUGUGUUUGAGAAUAAACAUGCAUGAUGUUCAAAACUUGGUAACCGUUCUGCUUUUUGCUUGUGAGACGAAUCAAAUAAGCUUUGGCAUUUUUUGAAUCUGCAUGAUUAUCCUUCAGUCCGAGUGCAUAAUUAUUCGUUGAGUGUUUUGAGUGCAUGGGGGCGAUUUAAUUGAUAGUCCAUGCACAAGAGUGUGAUACACGCCUAUCGAUUUCAUUUUGGUAGAGAUCCACAACAUCAUCACGUCACUUCUUAUGAUUCUCCCACUGCAGUUGCCAUUUUUUUUACCAUUGACAAUAUAAACCAUUGUGUGGUUGUCACAUUAUCCAUAGCACAGCUGCACUAUCACUAUGCACUUUUCUCGCUGUAGUACCAUAGUGUAGUGUGCCAUUUUCAUACUAGAUUGAGUGCGGCGCCCUCCUCGCCUUCUUUCCCUCCCCUCCCCUCCCGGUGCUCCACAUCUCUCAAGUGGAGGCACCUCUCCUCCCAUCUGGAUUUUUGUGCUCGCCUCAAAUCGGAGAAGCUGCCUGGUCGUUGGACGUGGAGAGGUAGCUGAGGGCACUUCAAUGUCGAGCCAUGCAUCGCGACCUGGAUCAGCAGGCAGCGGAGUGGCGCGCUCGCCAGCGACCUCGCCGGGCGGCGGUGGGCGACGGCCAGUGGUACUCCCUGCGGCGCGCUCGCCAGCUCAUUAUUCGCGGGCAACCUCCCCGGCCAUGGGCAGCCGCCGCAGUGCGCCAUGGGCACGGGCAGCAGCACCAUGUGCAGCUCCCGCGUGUCGCCGGAGGCGAUGGGCAAGUGGAGCAGCCUGUCGCCGGAUAUGGGUUUCUGUAGGGUGGGCUGCCCGUGAUGGCGGCGCCAGGAGGCACCGGAGGUCGCGCCGCCGGUUCUUCUGGGAGAGCCCCGAUGAUCCUGUUCCCUGUGGGCCAGCCAGUCAUGGAGCUUGAUUGUCGCCGGAUGGCGACAAGAAAGAGAUUCGUGAACGAAGGUGGCCUGUUGUUUCUGCUGGAGUGAGCAAUGGAUAAAUAUUCUGCCUUAUUUGACCAUGAGCAAGGUUUAACCGAUGGAAGGGCCGCUACCAAAAGACAUGAACAGAAGGUCCUAUCGCUGGAUGUUUACUGUCCAAAUCACAAGGAUCUGGGAGUACAGGAGCAAAGACUUUGCUGAACUUUAUGAGCUGGACUUCGUCGUCCUUCCACUACUUCCUGCUCCUCAUAAUACAGUCCUAUCGCUGCUGUGGUCGCGCACCAACGGACAAGUGAUUCCAAAGGUGCACCUCAUAAUACAUGUAGAAAGCAUGAACCUCCCGCAUUUAUAUGUAUAUUUAUGGAAAAAAUAUCACAUAGAGCUAUGUAAUUAGUCGUAAAUCAGCUCGCAAAGAUUUUAUCAGAUCACCCUUAAUAAGUCUUCCGGUUUGCAAGUUUUGUCUAAAGGACUCUUCAACAAGUGACUGUUCUAGCACAGCUUCAGUGGAAAGAGUGGAUCAUGCCCCCAUCAAGCCACUUGAGGAGAAAAGAUAACACAUGGCUUCACUAUUGAAAUAUAUAGCUCCACCAUUCACUUACAUAAGCUACCUCUUCUCCAAGAAAAUAUUUAUUUUGAUUCGGUUGUAGUCCUAUUUGCCUGCAAUUUAUAUCAUAAUUUGCUGCCUACACGAAUGCAUUCAGAUACUUUAUAAUUAGGACAGUAGGUGCUGCAGUUAUAAGUAGGACUGUUUGUUCAUGUAGAUGCUAUGAUUCGUUUACAAAGAAAUUUAUAAAGUAUAUGCUGCAGUUAUAAUUAGGAGUGUUUGUACAGCAAUUUAUACUUUAUGCUUUUCGUUAUGAAUUUCUCGAGUAGCAGGCAAAUAGGACUGUUUGUUCAUGUGUAUACUUUAUGAACUUUAGGGCGUUGAUUGUAGAUGGUUAUACUAUAAAUAGGACUGUUUAAAGCAUGCUCGGUUAAGAGAAAUUGGGAAAGAAGAAAACAACGAUGAUAGUGUAUUCUGCAAGUUUGUUUAUGUCAUGUUGCUUCAACAAUCUUGAUUUUAGACCAAUGUACGUGUCAUGAGUGAAUGGGAUACUACAAUAUUUAGCAAACUUAAGAUCAUGGUGGUUUUUAUGCCAAGUCAAUCCCCUCUGAAUCAAUCUUUACUUUUCUUUUCCCGUAGUGAUUUCUGUACAUAUGUUUUUCCAUGUGUAGGUAGUCUGUAUUUUUUUUCUCUACCAUCAUUCACAUUCCUACAUGGGUUCACACAAUUAUUUUAGCUUACAGUAAUGUUUGCUGCUUAUGCUAUCUGCAAGGAUUGUCAUUUUCUCACACUUCUAGAACAUUCAUUUGCUAUAUGGUCAUGCAACAAGCUUCCCCAGUUCAGUUAUUUUAGCAUUUGUUUAUCAAAAAAUAAAGAUUGUUCAGUUAAUUUAGCUUUUUAGCAACCAAGGACUGUUGAGUUAUUUUAUCUUUUUUAUCAACCAAAGACUUAUUUUAACUUUCCAAAUUGUGAUUAAAUGUUUGUGAAAGAUGGAUCAUGGAAUUUUCGUUGUGUUCUUAUCCAUUUGAUGUUAUGGAAGGGUUACUUAUUUUCUAUGUGCAUACUCUUAUCCAUUUGAUGCUAUGGAAGGUUUACUUCUUGCAGAUCUCCAAAAUUAUUGACAAGUUUCUCUAAUUCCAAAAUUAUAUUGCAGAUUAUUGAAGGAAAUUCAUUUAAUAUUUCCCUAUCUCCUAAAUAACUAUUGUACUAGAAAUGUGGAAGAUUAGAGUACAUAGUACUGAUGUACUUCCUGGUAUGCUAAUUGUGUGUCUACAUCUCUUAUCACUAAGGAUUGGUGCGUGCAUUUGGAACAGAAAUCCUUUCUUGGAAAUGUACAUUUGUUGAUUCAUGAUAUAUAUAGUAUUUAGCCUUCUGUUAUGUUGCUCCAUGUUUACAUACAUAUAUUAGUUACUUAGGUCAUGCACAUUUCUUUGAAAUUUUUUCUCCUUCUGACUGUUAAGCUUGGAAUAACAUGAGAGAGUUAAAAUGCUAUAGUUCUUAUUAUUCAUGACACACUGGGUUCAGACAAUUUUUGUUUUGUUUUACUCCUCAAAAUUUAAUUAUUACAACUUGUUAUUAAGCUAAAUACUACCUCCGUCCACGGAUAAGUGUACUUCUAGCUUUUAUCCUAAGUCAAAGUUUUAUAACUUUGACCAACUUUAUAGGAAAAAUUAGCAGCAUCUAUGGCACUAAAUUAGUAUCAAUAGAUCCAUUUUGAAAUGUAUUUUCAUAAUAUACCAAUUUGGUCAUAUAUGUUACUGCUCUUUUCUAUAUAGUUGGUCAAGUUCUUAGAACUUUGACUUAGGACAAAACGUAGAAGUACACUUAUUCGGGGACGGAGGGAGUAACUAAUUAGGUCAAUAUAAUCUGAUCUGGUUCAGUUAUCCAAGUAAAGAGUGCAUGCUCAUAUUUCCACUGAUCAAGGCAAAGAAUAAGUUCCGUCGACACAACUAAAUCGAUUUUAGAGGCUGUAAGUAGGCAGAUGAUCCACUCAUGUUCUGAUCUAUCAUGAUUCUGGUUGAAAGUUGUGUUCAACUGAAAUUAUGCAUCAAAUCCCUGGAACUUAGGUGACUACUUCUGUCCAAGAUAGUUACCAUAUCCAAUUUUAUAUAUGAUCUAUGGUGCAAGGUACUUGUGGGAUUGGAUUUUUGAGUUUGGAUCAACGAUUCAUCCCUCACCGAGAUGACAAUUUUUGUUUCUAGCUGCACCUGAAAGUUAAGAAAGUAAAACAAAAAUGCACCAAAGUUACAUUUAAAUUAAUUUAUGCUUUUGUUGGAAAAAGUGGAGAUGCAUGGCUCCUGAUGACAAAGGAAUGGUGCUGAAUUCAUGGUUUUUUUCUUCUGCUGAUUUAAUUGAGAUUUUAGGAUAAGGGACUCAUGGCUGCUAUUUAUAAAUAAACUUGAUCAUCAUUUGCUGUUUAUUUUUUAGUAUUUUUUAGCCUUAUUAUUUAGUAUUGUUUACAAGAGGAAAAUUGCACUCAAUAAGUAUUUUAAAAGUUUAACCAUAUGUGCAUCUGUAUAAAACCAUACCAUCUCCCAUCUCCGUUCUUGUUUUAAGUAAAUUUCCAUGGGUCACCCAAGCAGGUGACACACCUGAAACUUGCAAUUUUCUGUACUAUUUUGUUUCAAUCUAAUUUUGACAUUUCCCCCUGUAUGUGUGAUACUUAGGAGAGGAGCAUUGCAUGGUUUAUAUAUUGGAGAAAAAGGCAUACAUGCAGCACUACGGAUUCUAAAGGAGUGUUCGGUUCCUCUCGGCUCCUUUAACUCCGCUCCCGGAGCGGACCAGACUUUAGCUUAAUUUGACGGAGCUGCCAAAACCCAGCUCCCCAACUCCGCAGAGCAGGGAAGUUCCGAACAGGGCCCAAAUAGUAUGUGGUUAGAUUCUCUUUUUACGUUGUUGAUUAUGACUGCCAGUACAUGCUUGGAGACAACCACUGGGGCAUCGAUGCGGGCACAUGGACGAGGGGCGUGCUCGCCCAUCCGAGAUAAAAAGAGUUAAGAGGCCCAGGCUGAAAUUGCCCCUGCUUCCUUGCUGCUUGGCAAACUGUCACAGAAUCGUGUGCCUUCACAAUCACAAGGAGAUCCAUGAAUAAGGUUUAUGCAGUAUUAUUUUCCAUAUUAAUGUGGAAUCGGCAAAAGUGAAAAAGGUCUCUCGACUUGGGUAUUAAUAUGAUUUAUUCGAUGCAAUGAUUUUCCACAGCGUUGAAUCUCUAAAUGAACUAGAGCGAUGCUACACAUGAGGGAUGUGUGUGAGCUCGAUAGAAAGUACUCUGAGACGGAGCAAACCUGAAGAUUUAAAAGAUGAGAAAUCUCUUGUGGACUCAGAGAGAACAAGUAUCGGUUGUAGCGACAGUUAGUCAAUAAAAUUAAGAUUAAACAAAAGGAUGAGAUGCUGCAAACAGUAUCUUGGAGAAGUUCAUGUCAGAGUCUACAACACACGUGAAGGUUGGUUUUAAAGAGGCAACCGGGUACCUUUGAAAACCUCAAGAAGAGCCACUGGCUAGUUUGUUAGUGAUGUUGUCAUUGUGAUGCAUUGAAGUUCUUAUGCCAGCAAUUUUUAUGUAACUUAAACCAUUGAACUGAAGUUUCGUGGUUUUGCAAUUGAUACGUGGACGUAGACAACAAAGCUGAAGUGCAGUGAUCUUGUGCCGGAAUAUGUUGAUGUACAAUCAGGGUGCCGGAGUACUUGGCAGUACUGUCACCGUUGCGCCAAGUUCCAUAAUGCACAUCCUCCUAUUUCUCGCAUGGAUUUGUAAGUAAUAUGCAUCUCAACAUUUGUUCUGUCGAUGCAGACAAUGGGGUAUAUUUUAACAUAUAAGGUGGCUGGGCGACCCGCUCACUCGAGGGCUUCCUCGAUUUCC